AGUUGAAUCAACUUAAAUCAUUGUUUUAUACAAUAUACAAUGUAUAUUCACUUUUACUACCAACUGAUAGAUUAAAACAAUCUUUACCAUUCAGUAAUAACAAGCACUUUUUUUUACAUUUUAAUAUUUUAUGAUGUAUUUAAAUGAGUAGUUAUUGUUGCAAACUUCAUUAGAAAUUUGAAUUGAGAUCAGUUUUGAAAUAAGGGAAAGGGGGAUGUGAAAAAAAAAUUGGGGGGUCAAUUUUUUCAUUCAGAUUUCAUAAAUAAAAAGAAAAUUUAUUCAAACAUUUUUUUGAGAGGAUUAAUAUUCAACAGCAUAGUGAAUUGCUCAAAGGCAAAACAAAAAUUUUAAGUUCAUUAGACCACAUUCAUUCUGUGUCAGAAACCUUUGCUGUGUCAACUAUAUAAUCACAAUCCAAAUUUAGAGCUGAAUCCAGCUUGAAUGUUGUGUCCAUACUUGCCCCAACCGUUCAGGGUUCAACCUCUGCGGUCGUAUAAAGCUGCGCCCUGCGGAGCAUCUGGUUUUUAAUUGGAGUUAUCUUUCUUUGUCCAGAAUCAACUUAAAUCUUUGUUAUAUACAAUAUACAAUGUAUAUUCACUUUUUACUACCAACUGAUAAAUUAAAAUAAUCUUUACCAUUCAGUGAUAACAAGCAGUUUUUUUACAUCUUAAUAUUUUAUGAUGUAUUUAAAUGAGUAGUUAUUGUUGCAAACUCCAUUGGAAAUUUUAAUUGAGAUUAGUUUUGGAAUAAGGGAAAGGGGGAUGUGAUUAAAAAAAUUGGGUUCAAUUUUUCUCAUUUGAAAUUUCAUAAAUAAAAAAGAAAAUUUCUACUAACAUUUUUUUGAGAGGAUUAAUAUUCAACAGCAUAGUGAAUUGCUCUAAGAGAAAACAAAAAUUUUAAGUUCAUUAGAACACAUUCAUUCUGUGUCAGAAACCUAUGCUGUGUCAACUAUUUAAUCACAAUCCAAAUUUAGAGCUGAAUCCAGCUUGAAUGUUGUGUCCAUACUUGCCCCAACCGUUCAGGGUUCAACCUCUGCGGUCGUAUAAAGCUAUGCCCUGCGGAGCAUCUGGUUGUUAU
rnacentral:lncRNA from 1 species